AACGAACGCUGGCGGCAGGCCUAACACAUGCAAGUCGAACGCUCGUAGCAAUACGAGAGUGGCAGACGGGUGAGUAACACGUGGGAACCUUCCCUAUGGUUCGGAAUAGCUCAGGGAAACUUGAGGUAAUACCGGAUAAGCCCUUACGGGGAAAGAUUUAUCGCCAUUGGAUGGGCCCGCGUCGGAUUAGCUAGUUGGUGAGGUAACGGCUCACCAAGGCGACGAUCCGUAGCUGGUCUGAGAGGAUGAUCAGCCACACUGGGACUGAGACACGGCCCAGACUCCUACGGGUGGCAG
rnacentral:rRNA from 1 species